rnacentral:sRNA from 1 species
AUGUACCGCUCGUACAUUCCGGUUCCCGUGCGCCGGCCACACCCGCCUGGCAGCCGCCCACGCCGUUUUGUUGGCC